rnacentral:rRNA from 1 species
AGUGAACGCUGGCGGUAGGCCUAACACAUGCAAGUCGAACGGCAGCACAGUAAGAGCUUGCUCUUACGGGUGGCGAGUGGCGGACGGGUGAGGAAUACAUCGGAAUCUACUUUUUCGUGGGGGCUAACGUAGGGAAACUUACGCUAAUACCGCAUACGACCUACGGGUGAAAGCAGGGGAUCUUCAGACCUUGGGCAAUUGGAUGAGCCGAUGUCGGAUUAGCUAGUUGGCAGGGUAAAGGCCUACGAAGGCGACGAUACGUAGCUGGGCAGAGAGGAUGAUCAGUCACACUGGGAAUGAGACACGGCCCAGAAUCCGACGGGAGGCAGCAGUGGGGAAUAUUGGAAAAUGGGCGAAAGCCUGAUCCAGCAAUGCCGCGUGAGUGAUGAAGGACUUAGGGUUGUAAAGCUCUUUUACCCGGGAUGAUAAUGACAGUACCGGGAGAAUAAGCGCCGGCUAACUCCGUG